GGGGUCUGCAACUCGACCCCAUGAAGUCGGAGUCGCUAGUAAUCGCAGAUCAGCAACGCUGCGGUGAAUACGUUCCCGGGCCUUGUACACACCGCCCGUCACGUCACGAAAGUCGGCAACACCCGAAGCCCGUGGCCCAACCACCUUGUGUGGGGGGAGCGGUCGAAGGUGGGGCUGGCGAUUGGGACGAAGUCGUAACAAGGUAGCCGUACCGGAAGGUGCGGCUGGAUCACCUCCUUUCUAAGGAGC
rnacentral:rRNA from 1 species